GCCACCACACCAUCUCACUCUACUAGAAAGAAUGGAGGCAGUGUUGGACAGCUGUGUGUGUGUCUGGCAGGUGUUUGUAUGCGUUUGGGAUGUGUUUGUAUGUGUGUGUCAGAUUAGUAUUUGUUUAUUAGAGUUGUGCGAAUUUAUUCUGCAACUGUCUUUACUGCUGUUCCACUGGAUCCCUCAUAUUUGGCUGGCGGUGUUCAUCUGGCAGUUCAUGCACAGGAAGAUUCAGUUUGAUGCUAACCAUGUACACGGAUCAAAACAUUCAAGUACCAGUGAUGAAUCAAAGUCCGAACUAUGUGCUGAUGGAAAGCCCACUUCGACAAAGUAUUCAGAUGGAACUCCGAACAACCUCAGCUGUCCCACCACCAUACACAAUGGCUG